rnacentral:rRNA from 1 species
CCUACGGGUGGCUGCAGUGGGGAAUAUUGCACAAUGGGGGAAACCCUGAUGCAGCGACGCCGCGUGCGUGAAGAAGUAAUUCGUUAUGUAAAGCUCUCUCAGCAGGGACGAAAAUGACGGUACCUGACUAAGAAGCCCCGGCUAACUACGGUCCAGCAGCCGCCGUAAUACUUAGGGGGCAAGCCUUAUCCGGCUUUACUGGGUGUAAAGGGAGCGUAGACGGCAGGGCAAGUCUGAAGUGAAAGGCGGGGGCUGAACCCCGGAACUGCUUUGGAAACUUUACGGCUGGAGUGCAGGAGAGGUAAGUAGAAUUCCUGGUGUAGCGGUGAAAUGCGUAGAUAUUAGGAGGAAAACCAGUGGCGAAGGCGGCUUACUGGACGGUAACUGACGUUGAGGCUCGAAAGCGUGGGGAGCAAACAGGAUUAGAUACCCCUGUAGUC